rnacentral:rRNA from 1 species
GACGAACGCUGGCGGCGUGCUUAACACAUGCAAGUCGAACAGAGUGGCGAACGGGUGAGUAACACGUGGGUGACCUGCCCUGCACUUCGGGAUAAGCCUGGGAAACUGGGUCUAAUACCGGAUAGUGUGGGAUGGGCCCGCGGCCUAGCAGCGUGUGGGUGGGGUAAUGGCCUACCAAGGCGGCGACGGGUAGCCGGCAUGAGGGGGUGGACGGCCACAUUGGGACUGAGAGACGGACCAGAGGCCUACGGGGGGCAGCAGUGGGGAAUAUUGCACAAUGGGCGGAAGCCUAAUGCAGCGGCGCCGCGUGGGGGAUGACGGCCUUCGGGUUGUAAACGCCUUUCACCAUCGACGCGGUAGAUGGAGAAGAAGCACCGGCUAACUACGUGCCAGCAGCCGCGGUAAUUC